GUGAUGGACUGCCUUUUGCAUAAUGAGCCUGCGAGUUGUGGUGUCUGGCAAGGUUAAGCAAACGCGAAGCCGUAGCGAAAGCGAGUCUGAAUAGGGCGCUUAGUCAGAUGCUGCAGACCCGAAACGAAGUGAUCUAUCCAUGAGCAAGUUGAAGCUAGUGUAAGAACUAGUGGAGGACUGAACCCAUAGGCGUUGAAAAGCCCCGGGAUGACUUGUGGAUAGGGGUGAAAGGCCAAUCAAACUUCGUGAUAGCUGGUUCUCUCCGAAAUAUAUUUAGGUAUAGCGUUGUGUCGUAAUAUAAGGGGGUAGAGCACUGAAUGGGCUAGGGCAUACACCAAUGUACCAAACCCUAUCAAACUCCGAAUACCUUAUAUGUAAUCACAGCAGUCAGGCGGCGAGUGAUAAAAUCCGUCGUCAAGAGGGAAACAACCCAGACUACCAGCUAAGGUCCCUAAAUCUUACUUAAGUGGAAAACGAUGUGAAGUUACUUAAACAACCAGGAGGUUGGCUUAGAAGCAGCCAUCCUUUAAAGAAAGCGUAAUAGCUCACUGGUCUAGUGAUUUUGCGCGGAAAAUAUAACGGGGCUAAAGUAAGUACCGAAGCUGUAGACUU
rnacentral:rRNA from 1 species